UACGUAGGGUGCAAGCGUUGUCCGGAAUUAUUGGGCGUAAAGAGCUCGUAGGCGGUUUGUCGCGUCUGCUGUGAAAACUCGGGGCUUAACUCCGGGCCUGCAGUGGGUACGGGCAGACUAGAGUGCGGUAGGGGAGACUGGAAUUCCUGGUGUAGCGGUGAAAUGCGCAGAUAUCAGGAGGAACACCGGUGGCGAAGGCGGGUUGCUGGGCUGACACUGACGCUGAUGCGCGAAAGCUAGGGGAGCGAACGGG
rnacentral:rRNA from 1 species